AGGAAAGAGGUUCUCUGUGGCCAAGAAAUCAAAGUCUGGGCUAAAAGAAAGAGGACUUUAACAUGGGGUUUGACACCCAGAAUUAUCAGGUUUGCAUCAUUUGUCCUAGGAACUAAAUGAAGCAGAAACAUGGAGUGUCCAAAAUAAUAAUCCAAUCCAAAACCCACUCUCAGAAUGGCUUUUUCCAUGGGGAGAAGAAAA
rnacentral:lncRNA from 1 species